UGAUCUUUAUCACGACCUACUAUGUAGACAUCAAAAUAGAUCGAUGGAUCCGAUAAGCAAAGAGAUACGAUCGACCUGGUUACACUAUCGAUGAUUCAAGGUGUAGCAGUCAUUCGAGUCACUCGAUGAAUCGAGAACAAGUAAUCGCGUUAAAGGCUGAUAGAUAUUCACACGGUAAAUCGACGAUGGAGUCUGUUUUCGAAUUGUGCGCCACUGAUACAGCGAAUUGCCGGACGUGGUUGACGCGCGCGAUUGAAAAUAGACGCUUCCGGUUUCUCCUGGACACGUGCACGGGAUUCAAGGCACGUAAUGUGUGCCACGGAACUUGACCGAACCUCACAAAGCGAGAGUUCAAUUGAACAGCCGUUUGCGUUCUUCGCGCGAUUUGCAGCUGCGAGUAACCGGCACCGAUUACGAAUUCGUUUUCAACGCCUCUCGUCUCUCGACUCUAUUGUUAAUAAGUGAUGUUCAUUUCCUCUAUUAGGAUUGGAAAGCGAAACGAAGCGAUCCUGGAAUUGUUCCCGAGCUCGAUGCAGUUUCGCAAUUACCUUUCUGAAAGAUUCUGCAGAGAGAGGGAGAGAGAGUGAAAUACUUGAAUAAACUUUUUACCCAGAUUCUUGGCAUAAUGAGCCAUUUCCAUUCGUAUUGCUGCGUUGUUUGUAUAAUAAUCGUGUUGCUGUUUGCGGGAAUAAUUAUAUGUAAUUAUAUAUAAUUAUCGUGCACAAUUGUUUCAAUUUCUUUUAUGGAUUUAUUAUGUGGUUCCACGAUCUCGAUGCUAUUUUUUGACGAUAUUGACCUCAAGAUAUUUAUUAUCGAAUAAUAUCGCUAAAAUUAUCAUAAAGAUAGACACGAGAGAAAACUUACAUAUAGGAAUGAUACGAAAAAAAGUUUCAAUUAAUUUUAUCUCUCGUUUGUUUUUGCAAAGUUUGGACAGAUACGCGUGAAAGAUGUCUUAUAUUAAUUAAAAAAUAAUCGUUGCCAUUCCAAAUCUGAAUCGUCUUUACAUUUACCUAUGGUUUUACCUGCCAUUAAGAUGAAAAUGAAACAGUCCUUGAAAUAACACGAAUAUAGUACGACGGACUGUUCGAACGAAAGUCACGUUGAGCAAACUUGCUAAUUCUAUUUGUCGUAUCAAGGUAACCAGAGAUUGGUGCCAAUGAAAAAUCGGAUACGCGUAUCGACGAGUUGACAAUUGGAAAAUUGCGAAUGCAGAAUGCCUUCAUAUUAGCAUUGGCAAAAUUUGGAAGAAUUACUCGUUAACAUACGAUAAAAAUCCCAUCAGCUACGAACGUGUUGAACAGCUUUGUGACGCGGUUGGUCUUAUCUUAUCAUCAUGGCCGUUGUGACGUUUGCACCUCAGUUCGUUGUUGAAUCUCGUAAGCUUCAAAACACCGAUGAAUCGAGCACCCGAGCAUUAAGUAUCGAGAAAUCGCGACUCGCUUCUCGGAAGUGAAUCCAGUACAAGAAGGGUGAAAUCAACUUCGUUGAUUGCUUUUGAUAUAACAAUGACUAUGCUAUAUAUGGAACAUAAACUCUUAAAUAUAAAGAGGAUGAUGGUUCUCUUAAUUCUUGCUCUGUCGUAUAAACUGUGAACGUUACGUAACGCAAAAGACAUUGUUUCAAACAAUAUGAAAAAAUGAUGUCAAUGGUCUGUAAGCUCGAAAUUCUGAUAUUGCCAUGGUAAUCUAAAUCCUGUGUAAAAAACUAAUAAAACUUACCUAAUAUCUAGGAGAGAAAAUCUCUAUUUAGAAAAUAUCUGUGUCAUUUUAUCCAAUGAAGCGGUAACUGUACUUAUUAUAUUAUUUUUACCAUUUGCUAGAUAUUUAUUGAUAUUUCCACGACAGGAAUAGAUAUCGGGUUUUCCUUUUUUUGAACGUUAUCCUGGAGACUUGCAAACUUUAUUUGUUAAAAUUUCGUUAGUAAACUACAUACUACGAUAGUUUUGGUACAGUUAAGCGCUAUACAAAUAUUUUUCACACCGAUCGUAUCUUUUUUCUCAUUGUAAAGAAACAGCGAAAAAUAGAACGAUAAAACGGAUACCAAUGAAAAUCGCAAUGGUAGUACACGUUCAUUCACUGGAUUCGCGAGAUUAUAACUUUAUUUCGCUGCUAUUUGCGCAACUGUGUUCGCCGGUCGUAAAAUCGCACGGAUAACAUUUAAUGGAUGAAAAUGUUAAGCAACGGAACCUGCGAUCCUGAGAAACAGUAAGGAAUACACGCGUGAGAUUACACGGCGGGUGUUCGAUGGAAAAUGUCAGAGCUGGGUGCGCCGUGGUUUGUUAUGUGUUUGUUUGCGCGCUAUUGUAACACCGUGCAAUGUUAAAUGCGAACCAAAGAGACAAUCCCCGGGCGAUUGUUCGUUCUGGAACCUUGGUAAUCACGAGAUUUCGUGAAUAAGCGGUCUCCCGGGAAUAAUUAGAAGCACAGGGAAUCCGCUAAAACGGAGAAAUAUUUUAGCGAAUCUCGGAACACUGGCAAACUUCGUCUUCGACUCUGCUAUUAUCUACCACUAAUUAUACUGGAGAUCUUCCACGAGAUCUUUGAAGAUUGAGAGAGAUCUCGCAGAGGCUGUCAAAUCGUCUUGUCUAAAGCAAUCAACGACAAAGCGUAUCGAUGUGUAUGGAGAUUUUCGAAUGCGACAAAGGAAAGAAUAAUCGACUCUUCGAUUGUUUCAACGUCUCUUCAAACUUUUCGUAUUCGAACUAUUCGUACAGCUGCUAAACGCUAAAGGCAAAUUCGAUGGUUCGAAACUCGCGUUUCAAUCCGAAUUGACAAACUCUACGGAGAAGUUGAAACCAUUUCGAAGCUGGAUUGUACGAAAAUACCGACGUGUACCAGUCUACAGCUACAGAAUUCAAUUAAAUGGGAGAUAGUACGGAAUUGUUGGGCGCAAGCAACGGCACUCCGGCAGAGAAUGGCAAAGAUCUAGGUGCGCUAAAGCGUCUGCGGUGAAAUAAAGUAUACGUAGAAGGACUGAAACCGUAAUCCGGCCAAGCGAGCCAGUCUCCUGACCUGACAUUUAAUGCUCUUACACAAGUUGCAACUACCCGUUGCUCUUUGUCCGCCAAGAUGGUGCUAUUCAUCGAAACGAUACGAGUAGGCCAAAGGGAGGGACGGGCCAAUGAUUUUAUCGUGUCGCGUUUGAAUGUGCUGGACGCACCGCAAUUUGCUAUUUUCCACGGUGUGUGUACCAUAUCAGUUACGAAAUCGAUGUUGGUAUUGUCUUGUCAGCGGAGAUUUGUUGGAACAGACUUUUGCGAAUACGACUAGUGAUCGUUAUUAUCAUUAUUAGCAUAGUCCUGAAUCGGAUAUGAGAAUUCAUCGAAUACGCGUGCGAUAAACACCCUAUAUAAUCAGACACGUGCGAGUUCCACCGUGAAAUUGAGAUUUCCACGGUUCUAGAGGCACGGCGAGCAGAUAUGGGAAACCUCGCCGGUUAUAACGAUCAAUUGUUCGCACUGGCAAGUCGUGUUCGUCAGGGAUUCCAAUUCUGAAAUUGAUUAAAUCAUUUGACUUGCGGUGGUACACAUCCGGUGCUUACCACCAAGUACAAAUCCGAAACACUUGCUAACUUUGAUAGAUUCGAAAUCGAGUUUGACCGGAACAGAAUGUGCGCGACCAUGUCUUGUAGACGUAUCUAUACGUUGUACAAGGUUUAAUUGGAGUUAAGUGAAACGAAUUACUAUGUAGUAAACAAAUUAAGUAUAGUAGUGGAGAUGUCACGGCACUGGCUGAUGAAGGAAAUCGAAUAACUCGAGAACGAAAAGAGACAAUUUUAACCUGUGUUUGUUCGCGAUACAGAAGAAAAACAUGAGAAUUAAUGGUACGAUGAUUCAGAGUGUGUCCACUAUCUUUAACUGCCGCUCAGCAGCGAGACCGUUCUCAAAAUAUUUAAUUAUACGACCAGUAGGUGAGGCUUCUUUCGACCGUGGAAUCUUUUCCAAGUUCUGGCAAAUAAUCUUUCUUUAAAAACAAGAAAUAAAGUGGAUUCCUAUGUAGAGAAGCUUUUUAAAAAAUUAUCUUCCAGAGAUAAGUAAUCCAAGCGACUGGUUAACUGGUGCGUGUUGCACGGUUUAAUGGGUUAACGGGUUUCGUUCGAUGCGACGACUUUCGACUAUCGUGGCGAAUCAACGAUCGGGAGAGAACCGAGUAACUUACAGGAUCAGAAACGAAACAUUAUGAUAGCACGGGCCUCGUGUGUUGCGUGGGUCAUUGAGAGUGUCACGCGUGACGUGGGAGCGUGUGUACGCAGAGGUAUGUCAGAGAAAAUACGGCGGAAACACGCACCAGCCGGAGGCACCAGCGAGGGAAAAGAAUGAAAGAGAAGGGACAUCGUCGAGGAGAAAAGAAGACCACGUACAAGCCAGACAAUCCAUACACUGGAAUAUAUGCACACGCAUACUGAAGGAUCGUAAAGGACCAAACAGGAGAAAGAAGUAAACGUUGCUGGCGAGUCGAAAUCUUGUAUUCGCUGGACUAAGCCGAAGAUAUUUAUCAGCAGAGAUUAAAACGGGACUUUCCGUGUGUAACUGCAUAAAUUUAACUUUCCUGCUAUGUAUAUACACCAACACAUAUCCAGAUACCGUAACUUUUCGGUCCGGUCGACGAAUACCACGAGCAGCAUCCGAGGCAAGAAUUAAUAUGACAAUCUCUACGACUUAAAUCUCGAAUCGUCCUCGAAUGAACAAUAUUCGAGUAUAUUGCAAGCAAUACAAAAUACUAUACUAGACUAUUUAUAACACAAAAGAUAUUAAAUUAUAUUACUGCGUUAUUAUUUGUAUUCUACAUAUUCGUAGCCUCAUAGUUAUAGAAUUAAAACGAUUAAUACUUUUAAUGAUACAUGUUCAAAAAUGUUUAUCAAUCAGAGAGUAAUCUAGAAUUGCAAUUUACAGUUCGCAAUCUAUAUUUUAUAGUGCAAUAAUUUAUCUUAACUCGAUACGUCGUUUAUUAUCGAGCAAUUUACAUGCUACCACGUGUGUAUGACUCAGAAUCGAACAGAGCUUAUCAAGCAGGUAUUCCUUUUCUUCCUUGUCGUUAUCGCGAUUGAUUGUUUGUACAGGUAAUAUCAGUUAGUAAAACAUUCCGACAAAUGCUUAACUGCUAAUAUCACUCGUAAAGGCGUUACGGGUAAAGAUUCGAUUUUACGAUGCUAUUAGGUUUAGAAUUAAGGAAGUAGGUAACAGGAAUUAUAACGAGGAUAAUAAAAGGCGUAAAAACAAUCUUUGCCUAUCAGAUACGAUUCGUAUAAUAUAAUAAACAGAAGCGUAAAUUAUUCGAAUACGAUUUUCGCGAUAUUUGUGCAGAAAGCGAGGAGACGAUUUCAUGCAUUAAACAGCUGACACUUUUGUAUCGGUGAUAAAACCAUUCUAUCUGAUAACGAUAAACGAAGGUUAGCAGAAGGAUUUCGACGAUGACGAAGAUACAGAACUUCGAAAGCUUGAAAAUAUUCAACAAAUAUUAAGGAAAAAUCGGAAAGUUAAAUGCUAAUAGUACGUUCUAUUGGAUUGUAUUAAAAUUUCUGCUGGAAAUUCUUUGGUUUAAAUAUGCAAAUCUAUGUUUAACUACUUAAUAAUUACAGCAUUUACAUAAUGCUACUUUUCGAAAAUAUUAUCGAUGUAAAUGCAGGAAUAAACGAAAAUGCAGAUUUUGCAGAAGGUAUUACUCGCGAAUAUUUUAUAUUAUUCGCGAGGCGCAAGUUCAAUUAUUUAUGAUUUAACAAUAAGUAUCGUGCAACAAAAUGUCCAUUAGUAUAAUAUCGUAACCUUGGAGGAAUAUUCCUAGAAAUUUCAGGAAACUCUGCAAUUUAUAAUAUUUUAAUUCCAUUAAAAUUCCAUUAAAAUUCCAUUAAAAUAUUAUAUUCAUUCUUCGCUCAUAAUACGCUCACACAUAAGUUCACUCUUUUUUACAAGUAUUUCUACUCAAUCCAUCAGGAAACAACAGCCUGCAUAAAGCUUCUAGUCGAAACAACCCACCCGCGAUAAGAUCAUCACAUGUUAACGACGUUUAAUCGCCAUACUAUUAAUCUCCCCGUUUACGACGAUCGUUGAGAGUUUAAAGCACGGUCGAAACUUUUGACCACGCUAUCGCUUUCGAUGCAGUUGCUAACACGAUAAACUUCCCCUAUAUUUUCUCAUUGAGUGUUGCAUAUAUAAUGUAUACAUACGUGUACGGCCACGGAAUCGUUCCGCAACGAUGAGAAAAAGCGGAUGAGUCAGCUGCUUCUUUCGCAACUUUCUAACGUCAUUUACACGCUCGCCAAUCCAUGUCCGAUCGUUCACAUGCAACUCCACAAACUAUCUAUGCAAAACGAACGCGAUCCUUCGAUAAUUUCAUAUAUUCCAUGUUUUCGUUGCACGAGAAUUAAAGUUCAGGUACACGCAUGAUUGCAAUCGAAACAAAUAUUCCAAAUCUUUGGUCCAUUCCUUCGAAUAUCGGCGUAAUAUUCGAAUAGAGUUCGACACAAAUGUAAAGUCAUCUUGUUGUAAUGUUUUAUGGAACUAAAAAUUUUACGCGAGUAUUACGACAAUUUUUCGAAAAUUGAUGGGAUCAGACAAACGUCCCUCGAAUAAAAAAUAUCGUGACAAAGUGUCGAAAACUUGUGGCUCGCUAUCUGUAGAAUGCUACUGACUUAAUUAAGCCAACUUGCUUUCGGAUUAAUGUUUCAUAAUGAAAUUUGUGACUCUAAAAUUUCAAUUAUAUCCUAAGGAUUCGCGAGAGUUUCGUUUCUUGAAAAAUUAAAAGGUCGCUAAAGUCCUGGAUCGCUUUAAUCACAUUAUCCUUGAAUGCGAACUGCGAGAAAACGCUACAAAACGUUUCACGAAAUGCCCAUGGCAGAACCAGUAACGAUCAUUUUAAUUCCGAGUUUCGAAGUAUCUUGAAAUCAUUUUUAGAAUGUAAAUUAAUUAAAAAAAAAAAAAAAAAAUCGUACAAAAAUCGUUACAAGCAAUUUAAACGUUUCUUUCUAUAUUUCGUGCCCCUAUAUUAAUUAAAUAAACGAGACAUUUAGAGAUGCAGUAAUUUAUAAUCAAAAUUCUUCUUUAGAAGUAGCAACUCUAUAAAAGACUUUUUAUAUUUUCUUUUCCUCUCGCACGUGGCACUCGAGCGGAGCAGGUCGAGUUUCAUCAAAGAAAAUUGCUGCUUUGAUAAAGCCUCGUUUUUCACGUUUUCCUAACGCGCCAUUCAAGGCAUGAACUUGAAAUAAUCCAAUUACGUUAAUUUGACGACUCUCUUCAUACAGAAUUUCAAUAAAGAGGAUUCUUCGCCUUUUAGCUGCCUUUUCACAGUCCUUUAAAUCUGAAAAUUGGACAUUAUUCCGUGACAACGUCACAGAUUGACUUUAAAUGCCGUCGGAAUGUCCAGACUAACAAAAAUAACGCAUCGAGAAUUCUGUAUAAAAUAUAAAAAAAUAUAAUGGGCAACUUUGAUCUCUUUCCUUGCUCGCAUAAAUUCACUACUCAAGCCAAGACGCUAGAAAUUAUGCAAAGAAUACUAUCGUACCUUCGUACUGUUCUCGAUUAAAGUACUGCCACAAGUUGUACACCUCGCAUAUUUCAACGCUACAACUACCAACAACUAAAGUAUAAACUUGUACCAAAGAAAUAAAAAAUGAAAUGCGUAAAGCCACUCUAGAGACACUACGGAGUUGUACGAGCUCUAGCAUUAAUACGACCUAUCGAUCACAAAGAAGAUAUGCAGAUAGAAAGAGUCGUGUCGUAACGGUUUAUAGCAAAUUGUCACGGCCUGUAUUGUACUUUCUAUUGACCGACUAGAACCGACUGGAAACAUCCUUGAAUAUAUCGGGAUCAUUUACAUGCAUCCAGUUCUCUUUUCACGACAGAUACUCGCGGUUAACUUUGUGGUUCAUUGCUCCCGUGGUUCGCACCUUUGUUUUUUAACUUUUAUUUCGUCCAAGGAACCAUUUUGACUCGGUAUAUAUACCACCGCAAACCAAGUUGAACGGUUUCUUAGAUACCUGGUCGGGACUCGGCGAAGCGAGUCUAACGAGACCCUUAAACUAUAAUCACUCUGUUUACCGAUACUGUAUUCGCGUUGUUUGCAUGCGUAUAAUAAACUGUGAAUUAAAUAUUCGAGAGGAAUUUGCAAUGUCGUUCAAAUUUAUUUUUCGCAAUUUUCUCUUUAGUAGAUUUGGAUCGAAGAGUAGUUAGAAGAAAUAAAAUUUCAUUUUUCGUCAUUCCGAACAAUUCCAACGUUUCCACACUUUCUUUGCGCGUCAUCUAGUAAAUUAAUCUUCCUAACUUCUCACAAAAGACUCGUUGUUCGAUCCAAUUCUAAAAAACGUUAUUCUAUAGUUUAAAAAAAUAUCCGAGUAUUAGCGAGGCUGACUGUAUGAAAACGUUACAGUAAGUACAAUGGUGUGCAGAUAUUAGGUUGUCCGAAAAGUCUUUCUUUUACAGACCCGUCUUUCACAACAAUGCAUCUGUAUACAAACAUGAAACCUGAUCUGUCGAACGUUGUGAUCUUUAUUUUGAUAGAAGAAUAUGGAAAAAGAAACUUUCCGGACAACCUAAUACCUUUUGUAGCCAUUGUAAAAUAACCAUCUAUAGUCUGGUCGUGUCAUUUGUUUAAUCAUGGUAAUAAAAAUUUGAAUUUGCAUAAAGAUCUGUAGCCUCAAGGACGCAUUGUCAGAUACGCGAAGGAUACUGAUUUUUCUGUACUUACUACGAGCAGAUCUGAACGUGCUGCUGAUGAAGGCGGAAGCAACGAGUCCGCAUUAUUCUCCCUCUUUCUCUGCCCGGCUCUCGCUGCCCUCUCCUCGACGUGACGGCCACGAGAGAGUAGCCUUUCGAAGUCUUGGCCGGUCACGCUUGUCCACGCGUUCUAUAUCUUCCUUCUUUUUCUCCCGUGCCUUUCACUCUUUCCCCUUUCUUUCUCUAUCACGUGAUCUCUGUCCCUCAGUUUUGUCUCUUCCCUUCGAUUACGGGGUUCGCACUACACCCGCGAGCCACAACACACGGUACCCAUGGCGACGCGUUCUCUCACCAUUUACGUUGUCUCUCCUCCUAAUGUUCUUCCGCUCCCGAUC